AGAGUUUGAUCCUGGCUCAGGAUGAACGCUGGCGGCGUGCUUAACACAUGCAAGUCGAACGAACCUUCGGGUUAGUGGCGGACGGGUGAGUAACGCGUGAGAAUCUGCCCUCAGGAGGGGGAUAACGGCUGGAAACGGCCGCUAAUACCCCAUAUGCCGAGAGGUGAAAUGAAUUUCGCCUGGGGAUGAGCUCGCGUCUGAUUAGCUAGUUGGUAAGGUAAGAGCUUACCAAGGCAUCGAUCAGUAGCUGGUCUGAGAGGAUGAUCAGCCACACUGGGACUGAGACACGGCCCAGACUCCUACGGGAGGCAGCAGUGGGGAAUUUUCCGCAAUGGGCGAAAGCCUGACGGAGCAACGCCGCGUGAGGGAUGAAGGCCUCUGGGCUGUAAACCUCUUUUCUCAAGGAAGAAGACAUGACGGUACUUGAGGAAUAAGCCACGGCUAAUUCCGUGCCAGCAGCCGCGGUAAUACGGGAGUGGCAAGCGUUAUCCGGAAUUAUUGGGCGUAAAGCGUCCGCAGGCGGCCUUUUAAGUCUGUUGUUAAAGCGUGGAGCUCAACUCCAUUUCGGCAAUGGAAACUGGAAGGCUGGAGUGUGGUAGGGGCAGAGGGAAUUCCCGGUGUAGCGGUGAAAUGCGUAGAUAUCGGGAAGAACACCAGUGGCGAAGGCGCUCUGCUGGGCCAUAACUGACGCUCAUGGACGAAAGCCAGGGGAGCGAAAGGGAUUAGAUACCCCUGUAGUCCUGGCCGUAAACGAUGAACACUAGGUGUCGGGGGAAUCGACCCCCUCGGUGUCGUAGCCAACGCGUUAAGUGUUCCGCCUGGGGAGUACGCACGCAAGUGUGAAACUCAAAGGAAUUGACGGGGGCCCGCACAAGCGGUGGAGUAUGUGGUUUAAUUCGAUGCAACGCGAAGAACCUUACAGGGUUUGACAUCCUGCGAAUCCCUUGGAAACUAGGGAGUGCCUUCGGGAGCGCAGAGACAGGUGGUGCAUGGCUGUCGUCAGCUCGUGUCGUGAGAUGUUGGGUUAAGUCCCGCAACGAGCGCAACCCACGUCUUUAGUUGCCAGCAUUGAGUUGGGCACUCUAGAGAGACCGCCGGUGAUAAACCGGAGGAAGGUGUGGAUGACGUCAAGUCAUCAUGCCCCUUACAUCCUGGGCUACACACGUACUACAAUGCUACGGACAAAGGGCAGCAAACUCGCGAGAGCUAGCAAAUCCCAUAAACCGUGGCUCAGUUCAGAUCGUAGGCUGCAACUCGCCUACGUGAAGGAGGAAUCGCUAGUAAUCGCAGGUCAGCAUACUGCGGUGAAUACGUUCCCGGGCCUUGUACACACCGCCCGUCACACCAUGGAAGUUGGCCACGCCCGAAGCCGUUACUCCAAC
rnacentral:rRNA from 1 species